UACUGUCUGUCCAAUCAGAGUUUUCUGUAGCACGACUAAAACAGCUUUUAAACAAACACAUGUUCCACCAAAACAAGUUCCUUCAGAG